rnacentral:rRNA from 1 species
GGUUAAGCGAAUAAGCGUACACGGUGGAUGCCUAGGCAAUCAGAGGCGAUGAAGGACGUGCUAAUCUGCGAAAAGCGUCGGUAAGGUGAUAUGAACCGUUAUACCCGACGAUAUCCGAAUGGGGAAACCCAGUAUCCAAUGGAUACUAUCAUUAACUGAAUCCAUAGGUUAAUGAGGCGAACCGGGAGAACUGAAACAUCUCAGUACCCCGAGGAAAAGAAAUCAACCGAGAUUCCCCUAGUAGCGGCGAGCGAACGGGGAGCAGCCCAGAGUCUUAAUCAAUAACAGUGUCAGGAGAACGGUCUGGAAAGUCCGGCAGUAAAGGGUGAUAGCCCCGUAUCUGAAGAUGCUGUUAUUGUGAACUCGACGAGUAGGGCGGGACACGUGUUAUCCUGUCUGAAUAUGGGGGGACCAUCCUCCAAGGCUAAAUACUCCUGAUUGACCGAUAGUGAACCAGUACCGUGAGGGAAAGGCGAAAAGAACCCCGGCGAGGGGAGUGAAAAAGAACCUGAAACCGUGUACGUACAAGCAGUAGGAGCCUCUUUAUGGGGUGACUGCGUACCUUUUGUAUAAUGGGUCAGCGACUUAUAUUCUGUAGCAAGGUUAACCGUAUAGGGGAGCCGUAGGGAAACCGAGUCUUAACUGGGCGAAUGAGUUGCAGGGUAUAGACCCGAAACCCGGUGAUCUAUCCAUGGGCAGGUUGAAGGUUGGGUAACACUAACUGGAGGACCGAACCGACUAAUGUUGAAAAAUUAGCGGAUGACUUGUGGAUGGGGGUGAAAGGCCAAUCAAACCGGGAGAUAGCUGGUUCUCCCCGAAAGCUAUUUAGGUAGCGCCUCGUGAACUCAUCUUCGGGGGUAGAGCACUGUUUCGACUAGGGGGUCAUCCCGACUUACCAACUCGAUGCAAACUGCGAAUACCGAAGAAUGUUAUCACGGGAGACACACGGCGGGUGCUAACGUCCGUCGUGAAGAGGGAAACAACCCAGACCGCCAGCUAAGGUCCCAAAGUCAUGGUUAAGUGGGAAACGAAGUGGGAAGGCUCAGACAGCCAGGAUGUUGGCUUAGAAGCAGCCAUCAUUUAAAGAAAGCGUAAUAGCUCACUGGUCGAGUCGGCCCGCGCGGAAGAUGUAACGGGGCUAAACCAUGCACCGAAGCUGCGGCAGCGACACAAAGUGUUGUUGGGUAGGGGAGCGUUCUGUAAGCCUGCGAAGGUGUACUGUGAGGUAUGCUGGAGGUAUCAGAAGUGCGAAUGCUGACAUAAGUAACGAUAAUGCGGGUGAAAAACCCGCACGCCGGAAGACCAAGGGUUCCUGUCCAACGUUAAUCGGGGCAGGGUGAGUCGACCCCUAAGGCGAGGCUGAAAAGCGUAGUCGAUGGGAAACGGGUUAAUAUUCCCGUACUGGUGGUAACUGCGAUGGGGGAACGGAGAAGGCUAGGUUGUCCGGGCGACGGUCGUCCCGGUUCAAGCAGGUAGGCAGAGUGAUUAGGCAAAUCCGGUCACUUAAUGCUGAGAUGUGAUGACGAACCACUAAGGUGGUGAAGCAAUUGAUGCCCCGCUUCCAGGAAAAGCCUCUAAGCUUCAGGUUACCAACAAUCGUACCCCAAACCGACACAGGUGGUCAGGUAGAGAAUACUCAGGCGCUUGAGAGAACUCGGGUGAAGGAACUAGGCAAAAUGGUGCCGUAACUUCGGGAGAAGGCACGCUGGCGGUAGGUAAAGUCCCUCGCGGACGGCGCUGAAGCCAGUCGAAGAUACCAGCUGGCUGCAACUGUUUAUUAAAAACACAGCACUGUGCAAACACGAAAGUGGACGUAUACGGUGUGACGCCUGCCCGGUGCUGGAAGGUUAAUUGAUGGGGUUAGCGUAAGCGAAGCUCCUGAUCGAAGCCCCA